rnacentral:lncRNA from 1 species
AAAAAAUGUAAACUACCAUUAGUGUGAUGCUUGUCAGAGUUCUGUUAUCUGAAACCCCCCUUUUGUGUAACUUUCUGGGCUAUAAAGCUGGGAUGUAGGAAAGGUGGGGUGCUGUCUUGUUCCCACCAUUUUGGGCGGGAGAGGCAGCCCAGCCGGUCGAAAUAAUAAGCUUGCUUUAAUUUGAUUUUAAUUGGAGUCAGUAGUCUUUUCUUGUGUCCUGGUCUAACAUUUUGGAGUUCCCCAGUGAGACUACCCUGCCCGACCAGAUCACAAGACCAGACUGCUGGAAAUUCUGAAGCCAGCCUUUGCUCCAGGGCCCCAGGCUGGAGAGCCACUCUAGGGGGUGCGCACCUUGAGACAUUCCAAGGCCUCGGAGUGAGCCUUGGGUCCCUGGAGCACUGCAGUGAACUGCCGCACUAAAACUAUCAGCAAGCACCUGGUGGAGGAGGCCUCCAUAGGUAAGUGGCGCCUUUAUAACAUCUGGUAUCCGGUUAAGGGAGAUCUCUUCUGAUGACAGAGAGGUGGCCUGGCGAGGCUCACAUAUACUCCUGUCCGGGUCAGUAACGAGAAAUCGUUCUGUCCUCUGUUCUGUUCUGUAGGGAAUUCCUCUGGAAGGGUAGAGAGGUGCCCAUGGGCAUGCAUGCGCUCCUACCCUGGAGCUUUAGCAAGACAUUGCAUUGCUCCUCUGUUUUUCUGUUUUGGCUCUGGGUUUCUGUUUUCUUGUGUUUUGUUCUGUGUUCUAUAUGUUUUUUGUUUGUUUGUUUUUGUGCAUUUUGUUCUGUGAUUUCUGUGGUAAAAACUUAAGGAUAUUGGAUGUGAAAAUGGGUAAUAAAGCAAGUAAGGCUGACACCCCUUUGGACUGUGUUUUAAGGAACUGCGAUGAACUUUACCCCCCUUUGUUAAGCAGGAGGAGAGAAGCCCCUAGCUGGCUGCUGGAGCACACCCACUGCAGAGGGCAAUGCCUGCUGGGGAUGUAAGAACUGAGUGUCUCCCAGAUUCACAAGUGAGACUCCUUUAAAACCCCUUGUCCCUCCAGAUCAAGAGAGUCACAACCUUUGGGCAAGUUCCCUGUGUUUCUCCUUUGUUAGCAAAGCAAUAAACCUCCCUUUUUCUUUUUCUCAAAACCCUGUCCUCAUUAUUAUAUUGGCAUUAAUUUGCUUCAAGUUCAGGAACCGAACUUUAAGUUACAAAUUUUGAUACCCCCCCGUGCCCCGGAACUUUUUGAGAGCUGACUACUAAAAUGUUAGGAGAUGGAGCUUGCUUGGGGUGGAACCGAACCAGAGGAGAUAAUCCUGUAAGUAAAAGGAGGGACUGAGGGACUCCCAGUAGCUGCAGAAGCCCUGUUGCUUCGGGGAAUUCC